AAAAACAUGUCCUUUUGUUUAUGAUUUAAGGUCUGACCUGCCCAAUGAUUGUUUGAAUGGCCGCAGUAUUUUGACUGUGCGAAGGUAGCAUAAUCAUUAGUUUUUUAAAUGGAAGCUGGAAUGAACGGUUUGAUGAGAAAAUUACUGUCUCAAAUUAAUUGUUUUAGAAUUUUAAUUUUGAGUCAAAAAGCUCAAAUGUUUUAAAAAGACGAGAAGACCCUAUAGAGUUUUAUUUCUUAUUUAAUAAAUUUUUUUAUGGUUUAAUUAUUUUUUAUUUUUUAAGGAAUUUUGUUGGGGUGAUAUAAAAAUUUAGUUAACUUUUUAUUUAUUUUUUCAUUUAUUUAUGAUUUUUUGAUCCUUUAUUUAAGAUUAUAAGAUAAAAUUACCUUAGGGAUAACAGCGUUAUUUUUUCGGAGAGUUCUUAUCGAUGAAAAAGUUUGCGACCUCGAUGU
rnacentral:rRNA from 1 species